rnacentral:rRNA from 1 species
CACGUAGGCGGACCAGAAAGUUGGGGGUGAAAUCCCGGGGCUCAACCCCGGAACUGCCUUCAAAACUAUUGGUCUGGGGUUCGAGAGAGGUGAGUGGAAUACCGAGUGUAGAGGUGAAAUUCGUAGAUAUUCGGUGGAACACCAGUGGCGAAGGCGGCUCACUGGCUCGAUACUGACGCUGAGGUGCGAAAGCGUGGGGAGCAAACA